rnacentral:rRNA from 1 species
AUACGGAGGGUGCAAGCGUUACUCGGAAUCACUGGGCGUAAAGGACGCGUAGGCGGGUUGGCAAGUCAGAUGUGAAAUCCUACAGCUUAACUGUAGAACUGCAUUUGAAACUGCUAACCUAGAGUAUGGGAGGGGGAGAUGGAAUUAGUGGUGUAGGGGUAAAAUCCGUAGAUAUCACUAGGAAUACCGAAAGCGAAGGCGAUCUCCUGGAACAUAACUGACGCUAAGGCGUGAAAGCGUGGGGAGCAAACAGGAUUAGAUACCCUUAGUAGUCC